rnacentral:rRNA from 1 species
GAUGAACGCUGGCGGCGUGCCUAAUACAUGCAAGUCGAGCGAACAGACGAGGAGCUUGCUCCUCUGACGUUAGCGGCGGACGGGUGAGUAACACGUGGAUAACCUACCUAUAAGACUUGGAUAACUUCGGGAAACCGGAGCUAAUACCGGAUAAUAUAUUGAACCGCAUGGUUCAAUAGUGAAAGACGGUUUUGCUGUCACUUAUAGAUGGAUCCGCGCCGCAUUAGCUAGUUGGUAAGGUAACGGCUUACCAAGGCAACGAUGCGUAGCCGACCUGAGAGGGUGAUCGGCCACACUGGAGCUGAGACACGGUCCAGACUCCUACGGGAGGCAGCAGUAGGGAAUCUUCCGCAAUGGGCGAAAGCCUGACGGAGCAACGCCGCGUGAGUGAUGAAGGUCUUCGGAUCGUAAAACUCUGUUAUUAGGGAAGAACAAAUGUGUAAGUAACUAUGCACGUCUUGACGGUACCUAAUCAGAAAGCCACGGCUAACUACGUG